rnacentral:lncRNA from 1 species
AGGACUUUUUCUACCUGUGGUGUGUGCCUGUGGUCGGGGAGAUUCUCGCAUUCCCAGAAAUAUUGUUGAACAAUUUUGGUGAAUGGAAAGGGCUCGUAGUCUUCAUCGGUGACGGCGGUGGUUGUGGUGGUGUUGGUGUUGGUGUUGGUGGUAGAGAGAGAUGUGGAAGCGAAAUUGGAGGGAGAUUGGGAGAGAUUGAAGAGGGCGUUGAGAGGAGGAAGAGGGAGAGGGUUUGGUGGUUUUGAGAAUGGGAACCAGUUUCCACUGAAAGGGUUGAAGUUAAUGGAAGACAUUGAAGAAGACGAAGAAGAAGAAUGAAAGGGUUUAG